UUCUCGUAUCUUUUAGCAGAUUGAUUGAAGCAAAUUAGAGUGAGUUCAAUUAAAUCUAUCGGGUUCUGUGGAAAUCACUCACGGAGAUGCUAAAUUUUGUCUCGGUUAUGUGCCAUCCGAUUCAAUUGGGAAUCUCAUUGUUUAGGGUUUACUAUCAUUUCUCAAAACUUGGAUAAGAUGACUGCUAAUUUUGAAAUUAAGCUCUAUUAUUUUGUGAUGGGAGGUUAUUAUUCUUGAAAGGUGAAUGCUCUUCUUCUUUCAUACAGUAUUUGCUCUUUAGAGCAGGUUGAAAUAAUUGGGGAUUUCAUUGUUUAGGGCUUACAACCGCAUCCAAAAACUUGGGUAAGAC
rnacentral:lncRNA from 1 species